ACAUGUGACAAGAUCACCUGGAAAGCGCCUGAUCUCAUCAGAUCUCGGAAGCUAAGCAAGGUCGAGCCUGGAUACCGCUCGGAUGGGUGAUCAGUCUGUACAAAUAAGUUGUCGUAGGCC
rnacentral:rRNA from 1 species